rnacentral:misc_RNA from 1 species
AAGUGUUUUGUUAGAGUUUCCUCUUUAAUGGGUGGCGUACAGGUUCAUGCUAGGAUUUUAAGAGAUGGUCAUCAAUCAGAUAGUUUAUUACUUACUAAUUUGAUGGAUUUGUAUUCGCUUUGCGAGAAGGGAGAUGCAGCGUGCAAAGUGUUUGAUGAGAUACCUCAGAGAGAUACUGUUGCUUGGAAUGUGUUGAUUUCCUGUUUUAUUCGUAAUCGUAGGACCAGGGAUGUUUUAGGUUUAUUUGAUGCUAUGGUAAAUGGUGAGUUUGGGUGUGAACCAGAUGACGUUACAUGCUUGCUUCUGCUUCAAGCUUGCGCGAACUUGGGUGCUCUUGAAUUUGGUGAAAAGGUUCAUUGUUACAUUCAAGAACACGGAUAUGGUGAUGCUAUGAAUCUGUGCAAUUCGCUUGUAGCUAUGUAUUCGCGGUGCGGGUGUUUGGACAAAGCAUAUGGUGUGUUUAAGAGCAUGCGCAAUAAAAAUGUAGUUACAUGGACUGCCCUGAUUUCUGGUCUUGCAAUGAAUGGGCAUGGAAGAGAAGCUAUUGAAGCAUUUCGAGAGAUGCAAAGAAUAGGUGUUUUGCCUGAUGAUCAAACUUUUACUGGAGUUCUUUCUGCUUGUAGUCACUGUGGGUUGGUUGACGAAGGAAUGCUGUUUUUUGAUAGAAUGACCCAAGAUUUUGCGAUAGCUCCUAACAUUCAUCAUUAUGGGUGUGUGGUCGAUCUUUUAGGUCGUGCAGGAGAGCUUGAUCGGGCAUAUCAGGUUAUCAUGUCAAUGGAGGUCAAGCCAGAUUCAACAAUAUGGAGGACCUUACUAGGGGCUUGUAGGAUUCAUAGGCACGUUACACUUGGAGAACGUGUGGUUGGGCAUUUAAUUGAACUUAAGGCUCAGGAGGCUGGGGAUUAUGUUUUGUUGUUGAAUAUAUAUUCCUCAGUUGGGAAUUGGGAGAAGGUGACGGAAUUGAGAAAGUAUAUGAAGGAGAAAGGUAUCCAAACUACAGCCGGCUGUAGUUCAAUUCAAUUGAAUGGUGAGAUUCAUGAGUUUGUUGUGGAUGAUGUUUCUCAUCCUAGAAAGGAAGAGAUUUAUGAUAUGCUGAAUGAGAUUAAUAAGCAGCUCAAGAUUGCUGGUUAUGUUGUUGAAAUAACAUCUGAACUGCACAAUUUGGGUGCAAAAGAAAAGACUUAUGUACUUUCUUAUCAUAGUGAGAAGUUGGCAAUUGCUUUUGGAGUUCUCGCAACACCACCAGGCACAACAAUUAGAGUAGCCAAGAAUCUUCGGAUCUGUGUUGAUUGCCACAACUUUGCUAAGUUUCUCUCGGGGGUUUAUAAUCGAGAUCUAAUCAUAAGAGACCGUACUAGGUUUCACCAUUUCUGUCAAGGAAGCUGUUCCUGCAAUGACUACUGGUAAUAAUAAUUGUUAAUUGGUACCAACAUUUGGGGUUGGAUAAGAAAACCUCAAGUAUCAUCAUGAAAUGCGAUUACUGUGAUUGAAAGGAACAGCUUCAGCCUUCAGUGUAAUGAUCAAUCUAUCUCCACAGGACACACCAAUGGUUUAAAUUUGGGUCUAUUUGGAGAUAUCUGGCUCAAGUCCUACUGGGAUGAGGUGGGAAGGUUUUGUGAAAUGGGGAAGGCUGUGACGUCUAUCUCACAAGGUCAAAAAGGGGGAAACAAGAAGCAAGCAGCUUCUGUGUGAGACAUCUUCUCCAGUGUGAAUAGUGGCAGAGAAGGGCUUUGGAACCUGUGGAUCCUGAACCUAUUGCGAAUGAACGGAUGCCUUGGAGAAUUGUUGCCGGUUGCACAAGCAUUUGUCUAAUAUUGUUCAGCUUCUAUCUGAGAGGCACAAGAUAGCUAUAGACCACUGUGACUCCGUUCUAAACCCGGAAUGCUAGUGUCCUCGUACUUGUAUUAUUUGUUAACGAGACCAAAUUUUAUAACCCAGAAAUACCAAAGUUAGUGCGAACAACAGCUAUGAAGUUUGUAUUUUGCUUCUGACUUGAAAAACAUUUACCACUGAACGUUGUCCUGACAAAGACAGAAAAUGCAGAAGUCUAUGCCACUGCUUACAAUGAUCUUACGUGAAACUCCCUCCAGAAGUAAUUCAACAUAAAAGAAAUGAAGCUUUUUGAAGCAUUUGGCCCUCCAGAUGUAAUUCAACAUAAAAGAAAUGAAGCUUUUUGAAGCAUUUGGCC